rnacentral:rRNA from 1 species
UCUUGACCUCAAAUCAGGCAGGACUACCCGCUGAACUUAAGCAUAUCAAUAAGCGGAGGAAAAGAAACUAACGAGGAUUCCCCUAGUAACUGCGAGUGAAGCGGGAAAAGCUCAAAUUUCGAAUCUGGCGGUCUUCGGCCGUCCGAGUUGUAAUCUAGAGAAGCGUCUUCCGCGCUGGACC